rnacentral:rRNA from 1 species
ACAUCCAAGGAAGGCAGCAGGCGCGCAAAUUACCCAAUCUUGCAUCAAGGAGGUAGUAAAGAGAAUUAACAAUGAUAGACCCUCAGUGGUUUGUCAGUUGGAAUGAGGUGGAUCCAAACCAACCAGCGAGAAUCAAUUGGAGGGCAAGUCUGGUGCCAGCAGCCGCGGUAAUUCCAGCUCCAAUAGCGUAUACUAACGUUGCUGUAGUUAAAAAGCUCGUAGUUAAGUUUCCACACCCACUGGUUUCCUUACCAUCUUGGUAUUUUUAUUUUCUGGGUGUGAUCCUUUGGAUUUUGGUGUAUUGCAUUGAUUUGUAGUGCACUGAUUGUCCAUCAGUUACUGUGAAGAAAUUAGAGCGUUCAAUGCAGGUCAAUUUCAGUGAAUGUAUUAGCAUGGAAUAACACAUCAAAUUUUGGUUCACAAUUUGUUGGUUUGUGCACGAUGUUGAGCUUGAUAGGGACAGUUGGGGGUAUUUGUAAUUUGAAGUCAGAGGUGAAAUUCUUGAAUCUCUGAAAGACAUACAACUGCCAAUGCAUUUACCAAGGAUGUCCUCACUAAUCAAGAACGAAAGUUAGGGGAUCAAAGAUGAUUAGAUACCGUCGUAGUCCUAACCAUAAACCAUGCCAACACAGGAUUAGCAGAACAUUCACAAGGUCGCUGCUAGCACUGUACGAGAAAUUUCAAGUCUUUGGGUUCU